GUGCGCUUGAUGUAGUUGGUUAUCAUGUAUGCUUUACAAUUCAUUGUGAGACGCACGCAUAAUGUCGCCAUUUCGAGUCUGGCAGCAUUCG